GAUGAACGCUAGCGGCAGGCUUAACACAUGCAAGUCGAGGGGCAGCGUGAGGGUUAGCAAUAACCCUUGACGGCGACCGGCGCAAGGGUGCGUAACGCGUGAGCAACUUGCCCUUAUCAGGGGGAUAACCGGUGGAAACGCCGACUAAUACCCCAUGGCAUCACAUAAAGGCAUCUUUUUGUGAUUAAAGAAUUUCGGAUAAGGAUAGGCUCGCGUGACAUUAGCUAGACGGCGGGGUAACGGCCCACCGUGGCUACGAUGUCUAGGGGUUCUGAGAGGAAGGUCCCCCACACUGGAACUGAGACACGGUCCAGACUCCUACGGGAGGCAGCAGUGAGGAAUAUUGGUCAAUGGCCGGAAGGCUGAACCAGCCAAGUAGCGUGAAGGAUGAAGGUUCUAUGGAUUGUAAACUUCUUUUAUACGGGAAUAAAACCUCCACGUGUGGGAGCUUGUAUGUACCGUAUGAAUAAGCAUCGGCUAACUCCGUG
rnacentral:rRNA from 1 species